rnacentral:lncRNA from 1 species
GGAGAAGAGCACCGUCUUCCCAUCGGUAGCAUCUGUCCAUCACAGCAGGCUCUUGCCUGGGGUCUGUGUGGACAACUGGGUCUUACUUUACUGUGUUGUUUCAUAGGUAAGGCUCCCAGAGACGGAGAAUCUCAGCUCAGUGAGGACAGAAGUGCGGACAGAAGUGCGGAGAGCCUCACCAAUCACAGCCAAGCCACCGAGGCAGACACAGCCACACCACGCUGGAGGCCCGGAGGCUGGACGCUGGGUGGCUGCUUAAGUUUCCCAAGGGAAGAAAUUUGGUCUGAAAUCGUUUCAGUCAGGAAGAGUCCCAGACUGAGGUCUGAAGAUCUGGGGUUCAUUUCUGUCUCCAAAAUCUAAGCCUAGGAUAGAGAACUCAAGUUCAAAUAGUCCAGCGACCCUACGUGGAUGGCAUGUGGCAGUUUCAUGUCAUUGCUGGGUCACCUGCACCCUGGCAUGGUUACAGUGGGGAGACAGAUCCUUAGAACCAGCACAGGGUCACAGGAUAAGGCCCUUCUCUCUGGCUUCCUCUCCAACCUGCAGUUCCCUGUCCAUCUUGGCCAAGUUCAUCUGAUUUGCAGAUGGGGAACCUGCCUGGCACGAAUCCUAUGGUCCCAGGCAGACGGUUUGGAAACUCAGUGCUUGACUCACCUUCCCAGGCUCCUUUGAAGUUCUGAGCUGCCUCAGGGCUCCUCACCAGAAUCAGCUCUUGGGAUCCAGGCUUUUCUGACUCAGAGCCAGCACAGGCUUCAGCCCCCACACCUCCUCCUGCUCGGCCUCCUCUGGCCUCGGUUGAUGAGAUGGAAGCUCCCUCCCCUGCCUCCCUGUGCCCAGGCUCACAAACCCGUCACUGGAUAUCUUUAUUUAGGGAGAUUUCCUGCCCAGGCCUGCUUCCAGGGCACGAUGUAUUGAUGCAAAAUCCAUCACUUAGUGAGUCUGGGCAUUUAAUCAAUGAGGCUGCAGGGAGCCCCGUGUGACUCAGAGGGUGCUGGGAGUGAAGGCCAGGCGAGGACAGCAUCCAGAGUGGGUGGAAGGACGGUUUUUAUUUUUGAUCCUGUAAUGUCAGGCUCCAGCGAUUAGAUGUCUAUUCCCUGUAAUGCUGGCACUGCAGCAGAAUUCCAC